GCCGGCUUAGCUCAGUUGGUAGAGCACCGCUCUCGUAAAGCGGGGGUCAACGGUUCAAGUCCGCUAGCCGGCUCCA
rnacentral:tRNA from 1 species